UACGGAGGGGGCUAGCGUUGUUCGGAAUUACUGGGCGUAAAGCGCGCGUAGGCGGACCUGCAAGUCGGGGGUGAAAGCCCGAGGCUCAACCUCGGAACUGCCUUCGAUACUGCGGGUCUCGAGUCCGGGAGAGGAGAGUGGAAUUCCCGGUGUAGCGGUGAAAUGCGCAGAUAUCGGGAAGAACACCCGUGGCGAAGGCGGCUCUCUGGGACGGUACUGACGCUGAGACGCGAAAGCGUGGGGAGCGAACAGG
rnacentral:rRNA from 1 species